rnacentral:tRNA from 1 species
UCCAGAAGAGUGUAGUGUUUAUUACUAUGUUUGCCUCACACGGAAAAGGUCCCCGGUUCGAAACCGGGCAGAAA